CUAUGUAAAUUGCGGGUUGCUAAUGAAAAAUCGCGCGGAUGAUUCAUUACUCCGCGCGAUUUUCAAUGGCAUUGAAUUACUGCACGAAAUUCGGGUUGCUAUGUGGUUACGCGAUAAAAUUUGAUUGGUUCCGACACCUAGAAAGAACCAAUCAAAACUCGCGUCUUAUCCACCAUUCAUGCAGUCAUCAUGAUGACGGUUGUUUGACAUUAACACAAAACCUUUUAAGGGCGAAAGAGUGAUCAAUUUUGAUGACAUUAGCAAUGAGCUGUAGCACUGUUCCCAACUUGAACAUCAUCUUCUGUGUACAUACCUGAGGCAGAGCCAGCUUGCCCAUCUGACAUCUGUUGUGGACAACCGAGUCAGAGCCAGCUUGCACGUCAUCUGUUGCGGACAUCCGUGUUAGAGCCAGCUUGCACGUCCUCUAUUGUGGACAUCGGUGUUAGUGCUAGCUUGCACGUCAUCUGUUGUGAACAUCCGUGUAAGAGCCAGCUUGCACGUCAUCUCUUUUGGACAUCAGUAUUAGAGCCAGCUUGCACAUCCUCUGUUGUGGACAUCCCUGUAAGUGCUAGCUUGCACGUAAUCUGUUGUGGACAUCUGUGUUAGAGCCAGCUUGCACGUCAUAUGUUUAGGACAUCAGUCAGAGAUAGCUUGCAUGUUAUUUACUUGUGGACAUUAGUCAGAGCCAGCAAGGACAAUCUCUAUUGUGGAUAUCUGUCUUAGAGCUUGCACAUCAUCGGUUGUUCACAUCCUUGUAAUAACCAGCUUGCACAUCAACUGAUGUGGAAAUCUGAGUCAGAGCCAGCUUGCACAUCAUCCGUUGUGGACAUCUCUUUAUGAUUCUACUCUUUGCUUAGAUUGACACUGUGACUUUAGUGUAAUACGUUACAACCUUAAGCUAUUCCUAUUGUUGAAUAAAAAUAUUGUGUCAUUAAAAUAUAUUUUGUUGGAUAAUUUGUAUGUUGAGUUGUAUUGUUUGGUCAUUGCAAAGUAUCAAGUUAUUUUAAGACAAGAAAAAGCUCAUCUUUCAUCAUGUAUUUAUAUUAAAAUUCUUGAAUGUUAGUGAAGGUACAGUUCAUAUAAUUAAAAGCAAUUGUAAUAUGAUUGCUUGUGUUUUAUUGCACAGUGAAUACCAUCUUGUCUUUAUGCUGACAUAUAGAACGGAGAAAUAGUAAACUGUCGUUUUUAUAUGCAAUGGGAUUGUAUAUCAAGACUUGUAUGUUCAGAUGAAAAAAUUGCCAUAAUUUUUCUCUUUAUAUUUUAUUCCUGCUAAAUGGUUGAUGCAAUAAAGUUAAGUCUUUAA